UAGCGUAUAUUAAAGUUGUUGCGGUUAAAAAGCUCGUAGUUGGAUUUCUGUUGAGAACAGGCGGUCCACCUUUUGGGUGAGUAUCUGUGUUGGUCUCGGCAUCUUCUUAAGAAACAUUUCUGCGCUUGAUUGCGUGGAGUGGAGCUUAGGACUUUUACUUUGAGGAAAUUAGAGUGUUCACGGCAGGCAUACGCCCUGAAUAUAUUAGCAUGGAAUAAUAUUAUAGGAUCUUGGUUCUAUUUUGUUGGUUUCUAGAGCUAAGAUAAUGAUUAAUAGGGACAAUUGGGGGCAUUCGUAUUAACUGGUC
rnacentral:rRNA from 1 species